GAAGAAGCAACUGUCUAUGAUGUCAAAAAGUCUAGUCUUUAAUUCAUCGUGAGGAAUGGUCGUGUAUAGUGUUGAAAAGUCAUAGGUUUUAAUGCUAUUGAUUUGGGAAAAAUUCUGUGAUUUCAAGUUUACUAAAAGUUCUUUAGAAUUUUUUAGAAUCCACAUUUGAAUAACACCACUUCUGGCAUAUGUAGUCGCACAGUAAGUUUGAAGUUUCUCCUUCACAGCUGUUAACAUUUUCGUGAGGAGCAACGAUAGGGGCUUGGUAGAACACUUACUGGAUCCAGCAAUGUAUCUUUGUUUGUAAGGGUUUUUAUGUAGUUUAGGAAUCCAGUAUAGGUACGGUAACUCAUAUUCAUUCGACCCAUUGACUAGAAUAUUAAAUGUGUCUAAAACUGAAGCAUGGUUUUGAAGAAUUUCGUCUUUUGAAAGGGCAGUUGGAGUAUAAGUAUGAUUACCAAAAGUGGAAUUAAUGCCAAGUUCGUUUAAAAUACAGUUGUAAUAAUGAGCCUUACAAACAAAGACAAUGUUGUUACUAGCUUUGUCAGCUGGAACCAAAACAUAUUCCUCAUGUAACCUAUCUAAUUCUUUUAUCACUUCUGGUUUACUAAACACAGAAGGAUAGAUGGUACGUACUUUGGUUUUCAUGUGUCUAAGGCGGGAUUUUAAUAUCCCUCUUAUAGUAUGUAAUACCAUUCAAAAAUGAUAAAAAGUAUAUCAGUAAUUAUUUUGAUAAUAUACUACCCUGAUUAUGGUUCUAAGAUAUCAGACUACUGGCUAUCAAAAUCAAUCGAUGUGUUGUCAGACAUAAUUCUAUACUGAUUUACUUAUAGCAUAACCUGUUUGGAAGAUAUGGAACAACUUCCUUAAACAGUCAAAUUCUGCUGGUUACACCAUCCCUGAAUAUAUUUCAAGGACAAUAUGUUGAGAAGUGUGUACAAAUGAUGAAUACAGGAUAGUACGAGAUAAGCAUUAUAUCAACAGUAAGAGAAGGAGCAAUAUCGCCAUUUGAUGAUUUGCGCCCUGCCCACUGGACAUACCACGACUGCCACUCCAGUUCACUCGGCUGUACAUUGAAUUAGUAUUGGCUUCGGCCGGAGGGUGAGCUCAGACUCUGAUGGACUGGUCUCUCACUCUGCGGGAAUCUGAUGCUCUUAUCCGUUAACCACUUAUCAUUCCGAGGAACGACCAUAACCUACAUUCCCUAUGGUGAACUGAAAAUACUUCAAGUGAAAAUUGCCACAGGAUGACACAGAUAUUUCAUGAUAGAGACGUCACCAAUGCCGGUGAAGGGCGGCAAAAUUUAGGCCUAUGCUUGGAGUUUACAGCCUUUGAGCAGGGGGUCUUGAUCCUGACACACCUGCUGUGACACAGAGCCUCGGGUUUUGUUGUCUUAUCCGAAGGACCGCCCCAUUUAGUCGCCUCUUACGACAAGCAGGAAUACUGAGGACCUAUUCUAACCCGGAUCACGGAGGUGUAUCGGCCAUAAUAAAAUCCACAAACAUUUAAUUCCAAAGGAAACCAACCAUCAGGACGGACACAGAAUUGUUUACACUCGAUUUAAGAUGUAGAUAUUAAAUCUAAUUUCUAUCAAUAUUUUGAGGAGUGUAUACAAAUGAUAACUAUGUGACGAUACACGAUAUACUGUCUGUCAUCGUAAAGAAACGAUAGCACACGUGUUGUAAUAACCUGCGGUCAACUGGCGAGAACUUUACGUUGUGUUUGAAUAAAAUAUUUUAUUUAUGCAUGGUGGAGUUGAAAUAAUUGGUUGAAACUUUUCAUUUGUUAACUACCACCUUUGUUUCCUCGUGGACUUUUCCAUCAUGUAUGUUUUAUUUGUGGUUUUGUCAUUUAUCCAAUGUUUUGAAAAGAAGAGAAUCGAAGUAGUAAGCCACGGCUAAUAGAAAUCUUCAACACCUAUGCAGAGUUUGGAUUUUUAAUCACCACUGAGAUAUGACUGAAAUAUAUGCAACGCGACAGAAAACACCAAAGCUUCAGUUAACUGACUACAAGAGACGAUCUAAUUAAAUAUACUGCAUCAACAAUAUACAAAAUUAAAACUGUAUUUAAAUCAAGAUCCGUACAUUCUUGAAAUCAUAUAUUAUCAAACUUAGGUGCAUGACUGUUUUUACAUACGGGGAACAUUAUGCAGAUUUAUAUUUCUUAAAUUUGAAGCUUUGAAAGGUGAAGGUAACGAACAGUGCUCAAUCUUAUAAAUCCCAUUAGCAAUACGAAUAAGAUAGUUGGGCAAACAUAGAACCCUGGACACAGGAGAGGUUGGAUCAUGAAUGAACCGUCCAUAUAUUCGUCAUGAUAAGCAUUCAUUGUUUGGGGAAAAAAUAUAGUAUUCAUAUUAUUUUUAUUUUUGGUUGCAUUGCUAAAUAGCGCAUUUGACCUGAUGGGUACAUCUAAUUUUCUACCAUGUCUUUAUAUGAGCAUUAUAUGUAGCCCUGGUUAUAUAUAUAUCAUGUUGUUGCGUUGUUGGAAUAUCACAGUACAAUAUUUACACGUUUUACAGGAUUGAAGAUGAGUAUUUUCAAACUAUAAUCCAAACUGUAAUAAAAUUCUAGA